CUUGGUCAUUUAGAGGAAGUAAAAGUCGUAACAGGGUCUCCGUAGGUGAACCUGCGGAGGGAUCAUUACACAAAUAUGAAGGCGGGCUGGAACCUCUCGGGGUUACAGCCUUGCUGAAUUAUUCACCCUUGUCUUUUGCGUACUUCUUGUUUCCUUGGUGGGUUCGCCCACCACUAGGACAAACAUAAACCUUUUGUAAUUGCAAUCAGCGUCAGUAACAAAUUAAUAAUUACAACUUUCAACAACGGAUCUCUUGGCUCUGGCAUCGAUGAAGAACGCAGCGAAAUGCGAUAAGUAAUGUGAAUUGCAGAAUUUAGUGAAUCAUCGAAUCUUUGAACGCACAUUGCGCCCCUUGGCAUUCCGAGGGGCAUGCCUGCUCGAGCGUCGUCACACUCCCUCACGCCGCACCGUGUGUGUGGGUGGUGUUGGGGCUCGCCUGUUCGGCGGCCCUUAAAACGAGUGGCAGUGCCGUCGUGGACUCUACGCGUAGUACUUUUUCUCGCGACAGGGCGGCGGCGGUGACUGGCCAGCAAGUCCAUUUUUCUGGAAGACCUCGAAUCAGGUAGGGAUACCCGCUGAACUUAAGCAUAUCAAUAAGCGGAGGAA
rnacentral:rRNA from 1 species